GGCUCGGAGGGGCAGAGCGAGGCGGUUACGGUCCCUUCAUUCCGUUCCCCCACCCUCCUUUUCACUAGGGCUAUUCUCGGAAUGCUGUUAUGCCACGCGCCGCUCGCGCAGCCCAGCGAGCGCUGCGUCGCCUCGCGCUUCCUCUGCACGCCCGCUCACGCAGUUGGCGUGGGAGGAUCCGGGGCCGCUCCCUCACGCUGAAUCCCUGCUGAGGAGACCCCGCCUGGGGAUGGCGCCGGGCUCUUUCCCCUCACAAAGGAGCGCUCGGGACCCUACUGAGGAUCUCCGCCGCGUUCACGGAGCCGCCACCCAUCUCCCCUCACAGCUCGGCGGGAAGCGGUGGCGGCUUCGGGCCCGCCUUGCCGCCCCUCAACGCCGGGGGACAGCGGGCAGCCCUCGGGGGAAAAAGGCGAUUUCCUGAGGCAGGUGUGAGCCCUGCCGCCGGGACGGAGGAGGGAAGGGGCUGCCAAGGCAUUCAUCCUCGCCGCCAAGUCUCGCCUCUCUGGCCAUCGGCGGGGGAUGACUUGGCGCGCACGUCCCAGCAGCGAAUGAAAACGCGUUUAAAAAUAAAUAAAUAAAUAAAUACUGUUUGAAGGCAGCUGUUGGCCAGAUAAAAUCCUGCCAGGAGAUGAAUGCGCUGAAAAUCACACUGCCAAGACAGUGUUUGGGCUGGGCUGGGGUGGUGCUGAGACCCUAAAGUGGCUCCUCAGGAGCACCCACACCAGUCAGGGCAAACUCGGUCAUGGUGGAGAAGUGAUCCUGGAAAAGCAUGCACACUAACAGAGGAAAAAUCAAACAAACAAACAAACUACUUUUGCCUUUCCUGUUCAACUAUGUACCUCAAUGUUGUAUUUCCUUUAUAUACUCGGGGCAUCUCUUUGGAGCCAUUUAAACUCUUUGUAAGUUUCAUGCUCAAACUGCAUAGUGGAUACCUAUAUUUAUGAUGUGUGAUUUGAAACAUAACACGCUUUCUUUUGUGUUAGGGAUUUCUGAGCAUGGUCUGUGCCUUGCCUUUUUCACGAGACACAGUACGUUUCACUAGUACAAAAACAAAACAAAACAAAAAAAGGUACUCACCAAAAUGAGAAAAAUACUCAAAUUUGUUGUAUCUAUGGCUUAAUUCCUUUCUGCUGUUAUUAAAGGUACAUUUUAAGAGCAUGACCUGGUACUAGAAGGAUGAAAGCAGCAACUUCCAUUUCAGUUGUCAAAAGUGAAGAUGGCAGUAAUACAGUAUUUUUGUAGGUAGGCUUGUAGCAAGGCAGAAAGGAGCAGCAAUGAAGACGCUAAGAUGGUCCUUGGUUCAUUUUUGGCUUCCAGAAAUUCUUUCUAAUAUCUUACUUGACUUUUUCUGGUGUAUUUGAUAAGCAAGUACUUUUCACAGCAACAGUGAGAAAUGCAUCAUUUUUUUCAGAAAGAUAUGCAGCCCUGCGCAAUGUGGUUCAGCACUGUUUAAGAACUGGAAGUGUUACAAUGUACUGUGGUUCUUGGAUGCCCAAGGGAAAGAGAUUUUUAUUAUCAUUGGUCACAGGACUGCCAAAUGUUAUCUCAUAAAUCUGUGUCUUUCACAAUGGAUGAGGUAAGGAAUAACCUUUUUUGCAUUCUGGUUGGUUUAGGUGGUAAUGUCCAUGGCAAUGAGAUACAGCUGCAUUGCUUUCAUGGUUAUCUGAAUACCAAAAAGAGACAUUUUUACAUCACAGAAGUUGUUCACUGAAUACAGAAUAUGGUCCCCACAGCUCUCCCAUAAAAAUACAUUGCGGGAAAACAAACAAUGUGAGUAAUACUUGUUUUCUUCUUGUAGCACAGGCUUCAAAUUCCUCAAAAAAUGUUUUUUGGUCUUCAGAUAUGCUGAGAAAAUGGCUGAGGUAUGUAACUGUUGGGGAUCUCUUUAAAAAGUGACUUUUAAAGUAAUUUUCUUGUACUUCAUGGAUUGAUCAUUGGGAAAAAACAAACAAACAAAAAAACAACAGUGAGCUUGCACCUUUGAAAUCUACUGCAAAACUGGCACAGACUUAAUAAGGAAGCAAGAUGCAAGCCAGUGGGUUUUAUGUGAGGUUAAUGUCCCAUUUUUCUGUGUUGUGAAUAGCUGGGGGGGGGAGGUCUCUUUUCAUACGGUAAUUUAUGGGGUUAGGAAGAUUCUGCAAAAUUGUGUGCAUUUUGAGAAGAAAUGAAACAAAUGCAAAUGGGUCCCUGAGGUUGAAAGAAUACUGUGUUCAGUGUAAGAUAUAACAAAUUCAACCUUUUACAUUCCUGCGGUGAUCUGCUGUUCUGCCUUCAAAAAGAACAGGCUUCCCUAAAUCAUCACCAAACUUUGAAGAAAUGAACUCAGCAAGUAAAUUUCAAGACUCUUCAGAUUCUAUGUAAGUUGAUUUUUGAAAGAAGAUGCAAUUUUAUUACUUUUUUUUUUUUGGUGAAAUUAGUAAAACAUUUUGCAAGGUUAAAUACAGAGCGCUACCUGCCAUAAUGCAGAACCAGUUUGUGUCCUUCUUGUCCUCAGAUACAGAAACAAAACCCACUCACCUUAUUUACAAAAUGUACUGACUAGGGUUGCUGCCAGGUUGGUUCCCAGCCAGCCUAGCCAGUUUUCAUGUCUUCUUGCCAAUGAGACAUAUGAAGACUACUUUGUUUUGUUUUGUUUUGUUUUUUAAUGCAAGCAGAUGUGACUCACUAGGUGAACCAGCUCCAGCAUGGGAUGUGUUAGAAUUACGGCACAUGUGCCCUGCUGCCUUACUCCUGCAUGGCAACUGCAGUGCCUCCUGUGUUUGUAGGGUACAAACAGUGCGUUUCCAGACUGAAUCGUGCUUGCAAUGCGUGCAGCACCCUUCUGAGCUCCUGUGCAACUCGAGCAGGCCUUUGCACACCAAGCUUUCAUUUGCCAAAACAAUCAGUACGGUUAUACCACAUGGGUGGAAGUCCCAAACUCCCAUUCCCAAAAACAAUCUAGCUCUUUCAAGACACGAGGCUGAGGAUACUCAACAGUAAAUAAUAAGCACAGUAUCCUCCCUCAAACCCAUCCUUAAAUCUCAGCUUCAUGGUGAUGCCUAUCAAGAUCUUGACUGCUCUUUGACCACUGCUUGUCAUGCUGACCAGUAGUGUCUUCUGUCUUUACACUCUGUUCCCUCCUAGACAUCUGUUGCCUUGGAUGAUUUGGAUGAUUGGAUGAUUUCUGUGUAAAUACUCUCAUUCUGCUUUGUUCCCUAGCACAAGAAACAGACCAAUACAAUGGUAAUACAAAGAGCAACAAUAGUAUGAGGCAUCUGGUGUUACAUCUGAUUGGGCCCUGAUGUCUCAUCUGUCAGCCCUUUCCUAUUUUGAGAUGUGCAAACUGUAGGACCACUGGUGUGAGUAAAGGCUUCCAGAACCAGGCCCACAGCUGCUCUGUAUUCAGAGAAGGGCUUUCACCAAACAGAAACCCCUUGCUAACUCCAAAGCCGCACAAUAACCUGCUAUCCCAACUAUUCCCAGUGCUGCCACCAUAGCUGUCGUCUUUGGCUGCUACCUAUAACAUGAUCCUAGGAACAUGCGAAUGAAACAACAUCAAAUGUGCCUCUCUGGGCCCCCUCCUUAAGUCCCACUGUUUGCUGGUUAAAAAAUGCUCUGCAGCACUAAGAAAGAGCUACGUUCAUCAGCAAAUGCUUAUACAACGCUGUCAAAGUUCCACACACAGGCUUCUAUUAAACAAUUGCUAUGGGAAAAAUACAGCAUCUCUUGUUUUGUAGUGUGUUUACUGUAUCGUCCUGGUAUACAUCCAUUACUUCAAUUAUCUGAAGAAAGAGGCUUUGAUAGAUUAUGACCCAGUGAUGUGAUCCUUGUGAGAGGCACACACAUGCACUGAUUGUUGAAGAUAGAAAAUGGUUGUUUUGUGCAGUCAUGGUUGUGUAGUGGAGAAUAUAGAUCAGUAGAAGCAGGAAGGCAGCCUAGCCCUUAGCCUAGCGCUCGCAGAAGGCGAGUCAGUGAACAGGCAGAUCAUGAGAUAGAUUUCCUACUCCAGAGAGUCGGAGCCCGAAGCAAAUGCCCCUCUCCCCUUUCCUCCCCUCCACUGGCAGGCAGGACUGACUGCUGGGAGGACCAGAAGCAAAGCGUGCAGCACGUGGCCGGUAAUUCCAGCUCUCUGUUUGUUUAUUUGUUAAUAAGUAAGUCCCACUUGGGCUGGGCAGGUCUCGGUGAAUCCUUAAGAGACUUUCUGCAUACCCAGGUGUGUAAUCAUUAAUGCCCAGCACUGCAGCCAAGCGCACACCCCAGCGAAUCGUUGUGCCUGAGCAGAGUCCUGAGGGCGCAGAGGGUCUGCACACCCCGACACCUUGGGACAGCCCCGGCUGCCUGUUUGCAUUAGCAAAUGCUCCCUACUGUGGUAGAAGAGAAAGAAGUUGGAAGGAACCACAGUGUUAGGCUGCUGACUCAAUUCCGGCAGCAACACCAGGUGGGUCCGACUGCUUUACGCCCAUCAGAGGAAAGAGAGAGCUCCUCUGAAAUGGAGAGGGCAGGAAAUCGGGAUGGGGGAUUCUCAGAACAGCCAGCCAAAGCAAGCUGGAAGACCUAUUCUGAUACAAGUCAACACUUUGUUUUCUCUCAUGGAGGAAAUCAAACAAAAGCAAUUGCAAUAAGAGACUAAAUCCAAUCAGAAACUACCUGGUAUGUUUUGUGUCAGUUUGCAAUGAAAACUCCAGCUGUCUCCAGGUGGUACAAAAAUUUGUGAUUAUUACAAUUCUGCUUUUCUGAUUGCUGACUGGGAAAACACUAACGCCUAAUUUCUAUUUGUGCACAUUUUUGAAAGAGCAGUGCGUGCUAGUGACUAAUGCACCUCUAAGGCAAAGUACUGAUCUGAAACAAUGUUCUUGUAAUGCAUUUUUGUGUACAGAAAUUCCUGUUGCUGCCUAUCACUGCCAAAUUUAUUAUGGCUGAAAAAAAUAAAUCAGAUUAGCCACAAAA